rnacentral:rRNA from 1 species
AGAGUUUGAUCAUGGCUCAGGAUGAACGCUGGCGGUGUGCCUAAGGCAUGCAAGUCGAACGAUAAACUCCGCUUGCGGAGUGGACAGUGGCAGACGGGUGAGUAACGCGUAGGAAUCGACCCUUUAGCGAGGAAUAGCCCACCGAAAGGUGGGGUAAUACCUCAUAGUCCUUAUACUCGAGAGUUUAUAAGGUAAAGAUUUAUCACUAGAGGAGGGGCCUGCGUCCUAUCAGGUAGUUGGUGGGGUAAUAGCCUACCAAGCCGAUGACGGGUAGCCGGUGUGAGAGCACGACCGGCCACAAGGUUACUGAGACACGGAACCUACACCUACGGGUGGCAGCAACCAGGAAUAUUGCGCAAUGGACGAAAGUCUGACGCAGCGACACCGCGUGUGGGAUGAAGCUCCUCGGAGUGUAAACCACUGUGGCGAGGGAGGAAUAAAUGACAGUACCUCGCUAGAAAGCACCAGCUAACUACGUGCCAGAAGCUUCGGUAAUACGUAGGGUGCAAGCGUUAUCCGGAUUUACUGGGCGUAAAGGGUCCGUAGGCGACCUGAUAAGUCUCUUGUUUAAGCCCGAGGCUCAACUUCGGACAGGCAAGAGAAACUAUUAGGAUUGAGUUAGUUCGGGGUAGCUGGAAUUCUCGGUGGAGGGGUGAAAUCCGUAGAGAUCGAGAGGAACGUCAAACGCGAAGGNNGCUACUAGGACAUAACUGACGCUAAGGGACGAAAGCUUGNUAGCAAAAGGGAUUANAGACCCCUGUAGUCCAAGCCGUAAACUAUCUNGCUAGUUGUUCCUGACUUCGGUCGGGAGUGACGUA